rnacentral:rRNA from 1 species
AGGGAAUCUUCGGCAAUGGGGGCAACCCUGACCGAGCAACGCCGCGUGAGUGAAGAAGGUUUUCGGAUCGUAAAGCUCUGUUGUAAGUCAAGAACGAGUGUGAGAGUGGAAAGUUCACACUGUGACGGUAGCUUACCAGAAAGGGACGGCUAACUACGUGCCAGCAGCCGCGGUAAUACGUAGGUCCCGAGCGUUGUCCGGAUUUAUUGGGCGUAAAGCGAGCGCAGGCGGUUUGAUAAGUCUGAAGUUAAAGGCUGUGGCUCAACCAUAGUUCGCUUUGGAAACUGUCAAACUUGAGUGCAGAAGGGGAGAGUGGAAUUCCAUGUGUAGCGGUGAAAUGCGUAGAUAUAUGGAGGAACACCGGUGGCGAAAGCGGCUCUCUGGUCUGUAACUGACGCUGAGGCUCGAAAGCGUGGGGAGCGAACAGGAUUAGAUACCCUGGUAGUCCACGCCGUAAACGAUGAGUGCUAGGUGUUGGAUCCUUUCCGGGAUUCAGUGCCGCAGCUAUCGCAUUAAGCACUCCGCCUGGGGAGUACGACCGCAAGGUUGAAACUCAAAGGAAUUGACGGGGGCCCGCACAAGCGGUGGAGCAUGUGGUUUAAUUCGAAGCAACGCGAAGAACCUUACCAGGUCUUGACAUCCCGAUGCUAUUUCUAGAGAUAGAAAGUUACUUCGAUACAUCGGUGACAGGUGGUGCAUGGUUGUCGUCAGCUCGUGUCGUGAGAUGUUGGGUUAAGUCCCGCAACGAGCGCAACCCCUAUUGUUAGUUGCCAUCAUUCAGUUGGGCACUCUAGCGAGACUGCCGGUAAUAAACCGGAGGAAGGUGGGGAUGACGUCAAAUCAUCAUGCCCCUUAUGACCUGGGCUACACACGUGCUACAAUGGUUGGUACAACGAGUUGCGAGUCGGUGACGGCAAGCUAAUCUCUUAAAGCCAAUCUCAGUUCGGAUUGUAGGCUGCAACUCGCCUACAUGAAGUCGGAAUCGCUAGUAAUCGCGGAUCAGCACGCCGCGGUGAAUACGUUCCC